CCAUUUUCAAGCCAUUUUCCACAUGAUUUCCUUCAUUAAAUUUAGUCUACACAGCUUGGGAAGUGUUAUGGCAGCAAAAAGAAGCACGAUUGGUGAGGUUUUAGCAAGCUCUAACAAGAGUUAGUAAAGACUCAGGGAAAGGGAAGGAAACACUGAGUCCAGACCAGGAGACAGUCAUCAGAGGUAAGAAGAGCAUAGAGCAGUAAGUAAAUUUCCUUGAAGAUAUAUUCAGAUCAGCUCCAGGUAUAUCAUAG